rnacentral:rRNA from 1 species
GACGAACGCUGGCGGCGUGCCUAAUACAUGCAAGUCGAACGCUUCUUUCCUCCCGAGUGCUUGCACUCAAUUGGAAAGAGGAGUGGCGGACGGGUGAGUAACACGUGGGUAACCUACCCAUCAGAGGGGGAUAACACUUGGAAACAGGUGCUAAUACCGCAUAACAGUUUAUGCCGCAUGGCAUAAGAGUGAAAGGCGCUUUCGGGUGUCGCUGAUGGAUGGACCCGCGGUGCAUUAGCUAGUUGGUGAGGUAACGGCUCACCAAGGCCACGAUGCAUAGCCGACCUGAGAGGGUGAUCGGCCACACUGGGACUGAGACACGGCCCAGACUCCUACGGGAGGCAGCAGUAGGGAACCUUCGGCAAUGGACGAAAGUCUGACCGAGCAACGCCGCGUGAGUGAAGAAGGUUUUCGGAUCGUAAAACUCUGUUGUUAGAGAAGAACAAGGACGUUAGUAACUGAACGUCCCCUGACGGUAUCUAACCAGAAAGCCACGGCUAACUACGUGCCAGCAGCCGCGGUAAUACGUAGGUGGCAAGCGUUGUCCGGAUUUAUUGGGCGUAAAGCGAGCGCAGGCGGUUUCUUAAGUCUGAUGUGAAAGCCCCCGGCUCAACCGGGGAGGGUCAUUGGAAACUGGGAGACUUGAGUGCAGAAGAGGAGAGUGGAAUUCCAUGUGUAGCGGUGAAAUGCGUAGAUAUAUGGAGGAACACCAGUGGCGAAGGCGGCUCUCUGGUCUG